UACUGUACAAAGAUCGAUCUUUUUAAGUGCAAAAUUAAAAGAAAGGAAAAGAUCAUUCUCAUUGUGGGUCACAUAGUUUCAGAUGAAAAAAAAUAAAAUGAAAAGAAAACCUCACUUACAAGGCAUCACAGAAAGAACAUCAUCAGGAAUCAUAGUUGGCACGGAAAAAUGUGAAUAGAGGACUUAAUUGCUAACCAGAAUCAAGAAAAAAUAAAAGGAUGCUAGAUCAUCUUUAGAAUAGGAAAUCUCAAACAGAACCUCUAAAUGAAACUCUCCAGAUCCCAAAUAUAUUUAACAAAUCCAACUCUAAAACAUCCUAAAGAAAAUUUUGAAAAAUG
rnacentral:lncRNA from 1 species